GAGAGCUGAGAGGUGUCGUUAGAGGGAAAAACACCCUUUGCUUUUUCAGAGGCAGGAUUCUGGACGCACAAAGAGCUGUCUUGAGUCCUGAACUUGGAAAUUUUCAAGCCGCUGGCCUCCGUGAAGUUGCCGUGUGUAAAAGGAGGCUGGUGGUCGUGAAUGGAGCUCAGAACGGUUGUGAUAAUUUUGGUGGGAGGCUGUUAGAAGCACUGGAUUUUUUCCUCAAGAUGUUUCCCCAAACUUCUUCCCUGAGCCUUUUUUUUGGGGGGGGGCCUCUACCUCUGUAUCAUAAGGAGCUAACUUUAAUACAGGUCUUGUGAAUGAAAGCGGAUUGAUUUAAAGCUCUCAAGACACAGCGGGUGGGGAGGCAGAGGGUUUGAAUGUAUUGGGGUCCGUUAGGAUGGGGUGAGUGCUCUGGGCUGUGAGAAUUACCCCAGUGUCCAGGGUACUUCAUUGCGUUGGGUGGCUGAGGAGCAAUGAAAUCAAGAUGCCAGGGCCCAAGGAGCGUGUGCCUUCAGGGGCUGCUGAGGGAACCAGGAGGAAGCGCUGAGAGAUGGAGUCAGAGCAGAGGGUCAGCAGGCCGCACCACAGCACUGGCAGAGACCACGUGUACCUGCCUGGCAGCACACCCAGACUCGGGGGUGGAGUUGCAGGAGUGUCGGAACACUCAGUACCUGCUCACAGACCUGGGGCUGCUUACAGGGUGCCUCUAACACUCUGUCCCAAGUCACCUCACCUCAGGGAGGGACAGAGCUGUGCCUUCAGCACCCGAUGGGCAUUUCUGGCCUGCCUGGGUGGCCCAGGGCCAGAGAGUGUGACGGGUUCUCUGGGCAAAACUCUGGUCUGCACAGACCUGGGGCACAAGCCAGCAAGAUGUCUUCCUCCUCUUCCUCUCAGCACUGAAAUCCACUCUUGGGUGGGAGUAUGGAUUCUUCACUGUCACCCUGGAUACUCAACCUUCACGACACAAGCCCACACCCUGAAAUCAAAGGCCCAGCUCUGUAAGUCACUUCAGCCGGCUCUGAAUCAAUCGGCACCCUUCAGCCCUGGGACCCAGAUAGAAACCAAGGACCACCCAGGCUUGAUUCAUCUUACCUAGUUGCAGGAGCUUCCUUGGAACAGGUGUCUGG
rnacentral:lncRNA from 1 species